CAUCACUUUCUUUUCGCACUGUUUGUCCGGCAGUUGAAGACAUAGAAACUCUUCAUCAAGAGGUAGAGGAUCUGUUAGCUGAUACUGAAGACAUUCAGUGCUCAAAUCCGACUUCCUCAAACGCAUGGUCAGUUCGCAUGGCCCAGACUAAAAAGAAGUGGGCAGCUUUGAGGCCAGAGAUGGUGGAGUGUUUAUUAACAGCUGAGUAUACGGAGAUCAGGCAGUGCCAGCACUGCCGACUGAAGCAGUCUGUUAUCCGCUGUAAAGACUGCAUUCCUAAACAGCUGUACUGUGUAGAAUGUGAUAUUUUGGCCCAUGAAAGGAAACUUCACAACCGAGAGACAGAUGUAGAAGGUUUCUUUCGGCCCAUAUCCCCAACAACUUUGGUUAAAGUGGAUAUUGACGGCAAGUUCCAAUUUGAGGAAAAAGAUUGCCUUUUGCCUCUUGAGGCACCUGAACAAAUUUGCAACUGUGCCACAGAUUCCACUGUGGUGUCAGAAGGUAAAAGGGCAAUCCUCAUAGGAAUUGAUGGUCGCUACAAUGUCCGCUUGCCACACUUCAUGUGCCAAAAAUGUCAUAUGAGCAGAGCAACCAGCAUCCCACUGUUGAUCAAGUCUGGUUACUGGCCUGCCACAGCAAGCUGUGAAACAAUAUAUAAAAAUAGAUGUGUUUGUUUCCUAUGACCACAUGAAGCUGGCUGCUCCUGGAAUGUCUAGACAGUCCUUCACCGGUUUACUGGAACAGAGGACAGAGUUCUUCGGCAGAGAAGGAAAAAUAUGUGCAGAUGCUUUUCAAAGAAGUUUUUUCGAAUGGAGAUACUGCCAGUUUGAAAUUGAUCAGCUCUGUGGACUGAAAGUGUUUGACUGUCCAGCCUGUUCUCCAUUUAUGCUCGCUGUGUCCGUAGAUGGUAACAGGAAAUUGUAUCGCUUCAAAAGAGGGCAUGAAGAUCAUGGCCUGUUCGAGGGUGUCUUUGUCUGUAAAGAUGAAGAUGUUUCCAAGUUUGUGGACUACAUUAAUGCUAAGACAAAGCACUCAGCUGGAAAAGGUGUCUGUGGAUCAAGUCAAUGGAGUGCAGCACGGGAGUCUGUCCCAAAGAAAAUCAACAAGCUGGAUGAGGAGGGGAUGGAGGUGGCUGUCUGUCGACAUGGUGUGCUCCUGAGAAGUCUGAACAUGAUGAGGGGGGAAAUAUUUGCG
ensembl:lncRNA